UACCUAGAUCAGCUGGAGCUACAAGUGCAUCUAAUCAAGUUACUCAUUCUCAUGCCCAUGAAAAUAGCAUAUGUUCUCUGUGUAAUAAGCCAUGGUAUCAAGCUUGCCAUAAAAAGGAACAAAUGAUCACACAUGAAGUAUCUUUUUGCACCUGUCGAAAAGUGACAAUGAUAUGAUGUGCUGAAGCUAUAGUAUAAACUAUAUGCAACUUGUGAUUAUUACA